AGAUACACAAACACACAGCCCAGCAGCCCCUAGAUCCCUGGCUAGUGGCAGAGGUCAGAAUGUGAUUUUCUUCAGCUGUACAGUCCCUGGGCAAUUUUUAGUUGAAGCUGAGUGUUUAUAUUAAUUACUGUGAUCCAUCUGCCAGAGUUAUUUUCAUUCUUAUUGCCUAUCCGCAUUCAAAAAUUAUUAUGCAGAGCCCACAUUUCAAUGAAGUGGCAGUCACAUUUGAUUGUAAUAGAGGUUUGGUGUUUCACUGACCUUUGUUUCACUUGGAUGGAACUCACUCAAAGGGCAAAAAAUUAGUGAGCGUAGCAUUGGAUGAAUAAAUAGAUGAUGUACUUUCUAACGAUCCAUGAAUCAAAGACAUACUGAGUUAUGGUUUCUUAUUUCACGUUCUGUAUGAUACUGUGAAUGACUCCUGUGUAUAUCUUACUCAACAGAGCACUCAGGUAUAGUUAAUUUUCUUUAUAGCAUGGAACUGCAUUAAAAUGCUUCGAUGCUAAAUAUCACACUUUGCUAUUCUGCGCAACUGUUAAUGUCUUCAUGGGUGGUGUCCUUAAGCAGAUAAACCUGAUUCAGUUCCUUUAUUGGAACCAACAUUUCUGAGCCUGCAGAGGAAAGAUUAGCAAGCAUGUAACAGGCUGUCCUUCAAAGGUGCUUUAUAUAUGGCUUGUAUGGAAAAAUAGAGGACGGAAACAAUUUCCUAGAGGAUAUAGAACAUAAAAUAAUCCUUGACAAACUCAAAGUACUAUAAGCCAUCAUUCUACGCAUGCAUUCAAGGUGCACGGAUGAAUUUCCUUGCUUCCAUCUGAAUGGGAAGCCAAGGAG